rnacentral:rRNA from 1 species
UCCCGGCUAACUACNUGCCAGCAUCCGNGGUAAGACNUAGGGGACGAGCGUUGUCCGGAUUUAUUGNGCGUAAAGCGCGCGUAGGCGGCUAUGCAAGUCGGUUGUGAAAUCCNGGNGCUCAACCCCGGGACUGCGUCCGGUACUGUGUGGCUAGAGGUAGGUAGGGGAGAUCGGAAUUCCUGGUGUAGCGGUGAAAUGCGCAGAUAUCAGGAGGAACACCGGUGGCGAAGGCGGAUCUCUGGGCCUUACCUGACGCUCAGGCGCGAAAGCUAGGGGAGCGAACAGGAUUAGAUACCCUGNUAGUCCUAGCCGUAAACGUUGGGUGCUAGGUGUGGGCGGAUAU